CCGGGAAUAUUGGACAAUGGGCGAAAGCCUGAUCCAGCGACGCCGCGUGCGGGAUGAAGGCCUUCGGGUCGUAAACCGCUGUGGAGAGGGAAGAAGUUCUGACGGUACCUCUCUAGAAAGUGACUGCUAACUACGUGCCAGAAGCCUCGGUAAUACGUAGGUCACAAGCGUUAUCCGGAAUCAUUGGGCGUGAAGAGUUUCGUAGGCGGCGAGGAAAGUGGCAGGUUAAAGACCCCGGCUCAACCGGGGGGACUGCUUGUCAAACUACCUCGCUAGAAUUAGUUCGGGGAUGUUGGAAUUCUCGGUGGAGGGGUGAAAUCCGUUGAUAUCGAGAAGAACACCAAAGGCGAAGGCAGACAUCUAGGACUUAAUUGACGCUGAUGAACGAAAGCUAGGGGAGCGAACUGGAUUAGAGACCCAGGUAGUCCUAGCCGUAAACAAUGGAUACUAGCUAUUUCCGAAGCAAUUUGGGGGUGGCGCAAGCUAACGCGUUAAGUAUCCCGCCUGGGGAGUACGAUCGCAAGAUUA
rnacentral:rRNA from 1 species